GACGAGCGCUGGCGGCGUGCUUAACACAUGCAAGUGGAGCGACGAACCAGGGCUUGCCCUGGGGCAGAGCCGCGAACGGGUGAGUAACACGUGGGUUACCUGCCCCGAUGACCGGGACAACCCGAGGAAACUCGGGCUAAUACCGGAUGUGGUCUUCGGACGAAAGGAAGCUUCGGCCUCCGCAUCGGGAUGGGCCCGCGGCGCAUUAGCUUGUUGGUGGGGUAACGGCCUACCAAGGCACGAUGCGUAGCUGGUCUGAGAGGACGAUCAGCCACACUGGGACUGAGACACGGCCCAGACUCCUACGGGAGGCAGCAGUGGGGAAUCUUGCGCAAUGCGCGAAAGCGUGACGCAGCAACGCCGCGUGGGGAAGAAGGCCUGG
rnacentral:rRNA from 1 species